rnacentral:rRNA from 1 species
UACGGAGGGUGCAAACGUUGCUCGGAAUCAUUGGGCGUAAAGCGCACGUAGGCGGCCGCGUCAGUCGAGUGUGAAAGCCCGGGGCUUAACCCCGGAAGUGCGCUCGAAACUGCGAGGCUUGAGUACGGGAGAGGGUGGCGGAAUUCCCGGUGUAGAGGUGAAAUUCGUAGAUAUCGGGAGGAACACCAGUGGCGAAGGCGGCCACCUGGAUCGAUACUGACGCUGAGGUGCGAAAGCGUGGGUAGCAAACAGG